AGCUCCAAUAGCGUAUAUUAAAGUUGUUGCAGUUAAAAAGCUCGUAGUUGGAUUUCUGGUUUGAGCGUCCGGUCGAUUUCUUCGGAAAUGUGUACUAUGGAUGUUUGGGCCAUUUUUUGUGAGGAUGCCUUUCUGCCAUUAAGUUGGUGGUUGGGUGGACUUGCAUCGUUUACUGUGAAAAAAUUAGAGUGUUUAAAGCAGGCGUUUGCUCAUUUGAAUACAUUAGCAUGGAAUAAUAAGAUACGACCUUGGUGGUCUAUUUUGUUGGUUUGCACACCAGGGUAAUGAUUAAUAGGGACAGUUGGGGGUAUUCAUAUUUCAACGUCAGAGGUGAAAUUCUUGGAUCGUUGAAAGAUGAGCUUAGGCGAAAGCAUUUACCAAGGAUGUUUUCA
rnacentral:rRNA from 1 species